rnacentral:rRNA from 1 species
UACGUAGGAGGCGAGCGUUGUCCGGAUUCACUGGGCGUAAAGGGCGCGUAGGCGGCGGCUUGAGUCCCUGCGGGAAAUCUCCCGGCUCAACCGGGAGGGUGCGCGGGAUACUGGGCGGCUUGAGGACAUCAGAGGAGAGCGGAAUCCCCGGUGUAGUGGUGAAAUGCGUAGAUAUCGGGGGGAACACCAGUGGCGAAGGCGGCUCUCUGGGGUGCACCUGACGCUGAUGCGCGAAAGCGUGGGGAGCGAACCGG